CCUACGGGAGGCAGCAGUGAGGAAUAUUGGUCAAUGGGCGCGAGCCUGAACCAGCCAAGUAGCGUGAAGGAUGACUGCCCUACGGGUUGUAAACUUCUUUUAUAAAGGAAUAAAGUGAGGCACGUGUGCCUUUUUGUAUGUACUUUAUGAAUAAGGAUCGGCCAACCCCGUGCCAGCAGCCGCGGUAAUACGGAGGAUCCGAGCGUUAUCCGGAUUUAUUGGGUUUAAAGGGAGCGUAGAUGGGUUGUUAAGUCAGUUGUGAAAGUUUGCGGCUCAACCGUAAAAUUGCAAUUGAUACUGGCGGUCUUGAGUACAAUUGAGGUAGGCGGAAUGCGUGGUGUAGCGGUGAAAUGCUUAGAUAUCACGAAGAACCCCGAUUGCGAAGGCAGCUUACUAAACUGUGACUGACAUUGAUGCUCGAAAGUGUGGGGAUCAAACAGGAUUAGAUACCCUAGUAGUC
rnacentral:rRNA from 1 species